AUAAUGGGUCAGCGACUUAUAUUCUGUAGCAAGGUUAACCGAAUAGGGGAGCCGAAGGGAAACCGAGUCUUAACUGGGCGUUAAGUUGCAGGGUAUAGACCCGAAACCCGGUGAUCUAGCCAUGGGCAGGUUGAAGGUUGGGUAACACUAACUGGAGGACCGAACCGACUAAUGUUGAAAAAUUAGCGGAUGACUUGUGGCUGGGGGUGAAAGGCCAAUCAAACCGGGAGAUAGCUGGUUCUCCCCGAAAGCUAUUUAGGUAGCGCCUCGUGAAUUCAUCUCCGGGGGUAGAGCACUGUUUCGGCAAGGGGGUCAUCCCGACUUACCAACCCGAUGCAAACUGCGAAUACCGGAGAAUGUUAUCACGGGAGACACACGGCGGGUGCUAACGUCCGUCGUGAAGAGGGAAACAACCCAGACCGCCAGCUAAGGUCCCAAAGUCAUGGUUAAGUGGGAAACGAUGUGGGAAGGCCCAGACAGCCAGGAUGUUGGCUUAGAAGCAGCCAUCAUUUAAAGAAAGCGUAAUAGCUCACUGGUCGAGUCGGCCUGCGCGGAAGAUGUAACGGGGCUAAACCAUGCACCGAAGCUGCGGCAGCGACGCUGAUGCGUUGUUGGGUAGGGGAGCGUUCUGUAAGCCUGUGAAGGUGUGCUGUGAGGCAUGCUGGAGGUAUCAGAAGUGCGAAUGCUGACAUAAGUAACGAUAAAGCGGGUGAAAAGCCCGCUCGCCGGAAGACCAAGGGUUCCUGUCCAACGUUAAUCGGGGCAGGGUGAGUCGACCCCUAAGGCGAGGCCGAAAGGCGUAGUCGAUGGGAAACAGGUUAAUAUUCCUGUACUUGGUGUUACUGCGAAGGGGGGACGGAGAAGGCUAUGUUGGCCGGGCGACGGUUGUCCCGGUUUAAGCGUGUAGGCUGGUUUUCCAGGCAAAUCCGGAAAAUCAAGGCUGAGGCGUGAUGACGAGGCACUACGGUGCUGAAGCAACAAAUGCCCUGCUUCCAGGAAAAGCCUCUAAGCAUCAGGUAACAUCAAAUCGUACCCCAAACCGACACAGGUGGUCAGGUAGAGAAUACCAAGGCGCUUGAGAGAA
rnacentral:rRNA from 1 species